rnacentral:tRNA from 1 species
GGACAGUUGUCAGAGCGGUCGAUUGUGCCUGUCUUGAAAACAGGAGAACCGAGAGGUUCCGAAGGUUCGAAUCCUUCACUGUCCGCCA